rnacentral:rRNA from 1 species
CAGUCGCCGCGGUAAUACGAAGGGGGCGAGCGUUGUCCGAAGUUACUGGGCGUAAAGCGCGCGUAGGCGGCUUCUUAAGUCUGAGGUGAAAGGUUCAACGCUUAACGUGAACAGUGCCUUGGAUACUGGGGAGCUUGAGUAUGGGAGAGGGCAGUGGAAUGGCUGGUGUAGCGGUGAAAUGCGUAGAUAUCAGUCGGAACACCCAUGGCGAAGGCAGCUGCCUGGCCUAAUACUGACGCUGAGGUGCGAAAGCGUGGGGAGCGAACGGGAUUAGAUACCCGAGUAGUCCCUGUCUCUUAUA